AUGUCGGACGUGACGGCGGUGAUGGAUCUGGAGGCGGAGGAGCGGCAGCUGGCACUUCCGCCGGGGUUCCGGUUCCACCCCACCGACGAGGAGGUGGUCACCCACUACCUCACCCGCAAGGUCCUCCGCGAAUCCUUCUCCUGCCAAGUGAUCACCGACGUCGACCUCAACAAGAACGAGCCGUGGGAGCUCCCUGGCCUGGCGAAGAUGGGCGAGAAGGAGUGGUUCUUCUUCGUGCACAGGGGCCGGAAGUACCCGACGGGGACGCGCACCAACCGGGCGACGAAGAACGGCUACUGGAAGGCGACGGGGAAGGACAAAGAGAUCUUCCGCGGCAAGGGCCGGGACGCCGUCCUCGUCGGCAUGAAGAAGACGCUCGUCUUCUACACCGGCCGCGCCCCCAGCGGCGGGAAGACGCCGUGGGUGAUGCACGAGUACCGCCUCGAGGGCCAGCUGCCCCAUCGCCUUCCCCGCACCGCCAAGGAUGAUUGGGCUGUUUGCCGGGUGAUCAACAAAGACUUGGGGGCGAGGAAUGCUCCACGGAUGGAGGAUCCGCUCGCCUUCCUCGAUGACUUGCUCAACAAUGAUGACUUGCUUAACAACGCCGACCUGCUCGAUAACGCUGACCUGCCGAUGCUCAUGGACUCACCGUCUGGCGCCGACGAUUUCGCCGGCGCUUCGAGCUCCACCUCCAGCGCCGCCCUGCCGCUUGAGGCGGACACGGAGCAUUUGACUAUCAAGAUGGAGCCGCCGCAGCAGAUGCAGAGCCCAAACUCCUUCAUGCCGGCGACGGCCAACGGCAAUCUUGGCGGCGUCGGGUACUCACCCUACCAGGCUAUGGGCGAUCAGCAGGUCGCGAUCCGCAGGUACAGCAAGCCGAAGGCGGAGGUAGCGUCUUCGUCCGCGCUGCUGAGCCCUUCGCUGGGCUUGGACACGGCGGCGCUCGCCGGCGCGGACACCUCGUUCCUGAUGGCGUCGUCGCGGUCGUACUUCGAUCUGGAGGAGCUGUUCCGGGGCGAGCCUCUCAUGGACUACUCCAACAUGUGGAAGAUAUGA
rnacentral:rRNA from 1 species